CCUACGGGAGGCUGCAGUGGGGAAUAUUGCACAAUGGGCGCAAGCCUGAUGCAGCCAUGCCGCGUGUGUGAAGAAGGCCUUCGGGUUGUAAAGCACUUUCAGCGGGGAGGAAGGCGUUAAGGUUAAUAACCUUGGCGAUUGACGUUACCCGCAGAAGAAGCACCGGCUAACUCCGUGCCAGCAGCCGCGGUAAUACGGAGGGUGCAAGCGUUAAUCGGAAUCACUGGGCGUAAAGCGCACGCAGGCGGUCUGUCAAGUCGGAUGUGAAAUCCCCGGGCUCAACCUGGGAACUGCAUUCGAAACUGGCAGGCUAGAGUCUUGUAGAGGGGGGUAGAAUUCCAGGUGUAGCGGUGAAAUGCGUAGAGAGCUGGAGGAAUACCGGUGGCGAAGGCGGCCCCCUGGACAAAGACUGACGCUCAGGUGCGAAAGCGUGGGGAGCAAACAGGAUUAGAUACCCCAGUAGUC
rnacentral:rRNA from 1 species